UCUGUCACCCAGGCUGGAGUUCAGUUGUGCAAUCAUGGCUCACUGCAUCAUCAAUCUCCUGGGUCUAAGUGAUCCUCCUCACUUCAGCCUCCGGAGUACCUGGGACCAUAGUGUCAGCUUAAUUUUGUGUAAAUAGUCUGGAAACAUGAUUUUCAUCACAGCAAGCAAAACUUGUAUAGACAUGUUUGUAAGAGGAUAUUUAUACACCACCCCAGGAUGCUCUUUCUCAACUGACAUCACCUGCAUUUAGUCCAUUUCAGUUCUUCCAUGGCUUUAUGUUUUCAAAUCAACCUGCCUGGACUCAAAAGCAGACAAAACCCAGAAGUAAACAGCAGAUAGAGAUGGAAAAAGCUCCAGAAGAAUUUCUCUCCUACAGAUUUAAGAGGAGAAAAUGAGACUCCUAAGUGUCAUAAAGAAUGUGUGUAGGUGGGAUAUCCUCUUUUUUUCUUCUGUUCUUUCCCAUCCAGCCCCAAGACAAUAAUAUGAUGGCAUGGUAGAGGUGAAGAUAAUGGGAGC
rnacentral:lncRNA from 1 species